rnacentral:rRNA from 1 species
GUACACGCUGUGACUAGCAUAUCAAUAAGCGGAGGAAAAGAAACUAACAAGGAUUCCCCUAGUAACGGCGAGUGAAGCGGGAAGAGCUCAAAUUUGAAAUCUUAAAGGGUUUCCCCUUACGAAUUGUAGUUUAAAGAAGUGUUUUCUGUUGAGGUUUUGGUAAAAGUUCUUUGGAAUAGGACAUCAUAGAGGGUGAGAAUCCCGUAUUUGACCUUUACUUUCAACUUUGUGAUACACUUUCAAAGAGUCGGAUUGUUUGGGAAUGCAGUCCAAAAUGGGUGGUAAAUUUCAUCUAAAGCUAAAUAUUGGCGAGAGACCGAUAGCGAACAAGUACCGUGAGGGAAAGAUGAAAAGAACUUUGAAAAGAGAGUUAAACAGUACGUGAAAUUGUCAAAAGGGAAGCGUUUGACACCAGUGUUGUUUUUCUGAAAAUCAAUUAAAGAACUGUUUAUGCUAAGUUGUUUAGACUUUAUCAGCUAUCUGUUUAGUUUUGAGCUUUUCUUUAACGCACUUUUCAGUUAACAAGUCAACAUCAAUUUCUUUUGCUGUAAAAAAGCUUGAGGAAGGUGGCUUGAGAUUCGUCUUAAGUGUUUAUAGCCUCUUGCCUAUGCAGUCCGGAGAGAUUGAGGUCUGCAGCGUAGAUCCUUCGGGGCUAAAUGCAUUUGUGCUAAGUUAUAGCAUUUUAUAGACAACUUGUUGACUAUGAUUUGUCUUGUAGCUUACUCGCUUAUGUUAUUUUACCUACGCUUAGGAUGUUGACGAGACUGUCGAUCU